CCUACGGGAGGCAGCAGUAGGGAAUCUUGCGCAAUGGGCGAAAGCCUGACGCAGCCAUGCCGCGUGAAUGAUGAAGGUCUUAGGAUUGUAAAAUUCUUUCACCGGGGAAGAUAAUGACGGUACCCGGAGAAGAAGCCCCGGCUAACUUCGUGCCAGCAGCCGCGGUAAUACGAAGGGGGCUAGCGUUGCUCGGAAUUACUGGGCGUAAAGGGCGCGUAGGCGGACAGUUUAGUCAGAGGUGAAAGCCCAGGGCUCAACCUUGGAAUUGCCUUUGAUACUGGCUGUCUUGAGUUCGGGAGAGGUGAGUGGAAUGCCGAGUGUAGAGGUGAAAUUCGUAGAUAUUCGGCGGAACACCAGUGGCGAAGGCGACUCACUGGCCCGAUACUGACGCUGAGGCGCGAAAGCGCGGGGAGCAAACAGGAUUAGAUACCCUGGUAGUCCACGCUGUAAACGAUGAGUGCUAGUUGUCGGUCGAUGCAUGCAUGUCGGUGGACGCGACGCGUACG
rnacentral:rRNA from 1 species